rnacentral:rRNA from 1 species
UACGUAGGGGGCGAGCGUUGUCCGGAUUUAUUGGGCGUAAAGAGCUCGUAGGCGGUUCGAUAAGUCGGACGUGAAAUCUCCACGCUCAACGUGGAGGGGCCGUUCGAUACUGUCGUGACUCGAGUCCGGUAGGGGAGUGUGGAAUUCCCGGUGUAGCGGUGAAAUGCGCAGAUAUCGGGAGGAACACCGGUGGCGAAGGCGGUUCUCUGGGCCUGUACUGACGCUGAGGAGCGAAAGCGUGGGGAGCGAACAGG